AUUGAACGCUGGCGGCACGCCUAACACAUGCAAGUCGAGCGGUAACAUGGUUAGUAGCAAUACUAACUGAUGACGAGCGGCGGACGGGUGAGGAACACGUAGGAACCUGCCCUUUAGCGGGGGACAACCAAGGGAAACUUUGGCUAAUACCGCGUAAUCUCGCAAGAGGAAAGCUGCCCGCAAGGGUGGCGCUAGAGGAGGGGCCUGCGUCCGAUUAGCUGGUUGGUAAGGUAAAGGCUUACCAAGGCGAUGAUCGGUAACUGGUCUUAGAGGACGAGCAGUCACACUGGGACUGGGACACGGCCCAGACUCCUACGGAGGCAGCAGUGGGGAAUCUUGGACAAUGGGGGCAACCCUGAUCCAGCGAUGCCGCGUGAGUGAAGAAGGCCUUCGGGUCGUAAAGCUCUUUAGGCUGGGAAGAAGGUUAGUAGUUUAAGAGAUGGCUAACUUGACUGUACCGGCAGAAUAAGCACCGGCAAACUCUGUGCCAGCCGCCGCGGUAACAC
rnacentral:rRNA from 1 species